UUCACAUUACUUAGACAUUUUACAACAAAACAAAACGAAGAUAUGUUGAGGCAAAAAAGAAGACGCAGUUGGAAAAUGAAGUGAUUAGUACGAAGUAGCAGCGCAGGCACAUUUGGAAAAUUAUGCCGAUAAGCAAGAUAAAAUUUGGGGAAAAAUGUUAUUAAUCGAGUGGCCUUCUCAACGUGCUAAGUUACAAGUUAAGAUGACUGCCACCACAGCCGGUAGGAAGCCCGAAGCAAAGGGCAAACAACCUUCUACGAAGCUGCCUGCUGUCCCCGAGUCGUAGCUGAAGUUCAGCAAGAAGCAGGUCAGCAAACGUGCUACCCUGAUCAAUCGUAAACUAAAGCGCUCUGCUAUGAUUGCACUCCGCAAACGUGAACACUUGUUGCAUCUGAGAAAUAUCAAGCAAAAUAUCUCCGUGAUGGACGCCGUGAGAAUAAGUUGCGUCGCCUGGCAAAGAAACGCGGCUCAUUCUAAGUGCCUGCGGAAGACAAAUUGGCUUUUGUGAUCUGUAUCCGCGGUAUCAACAAAUUUGCAUCAAAAGUGCGACAGUUUGUUCCUUUUUCGCCACAUUAACCACGGUUUGUUCAUCAAAUUUAACCGUUAAUAUGCUACACAUUGCCGAAUCCUAUAUCACAUGGGGUUAUCCAAAUCUUUAAUCAGUUCGUGAAUUGAUCUACAAACGUGGAAUUGUCAAGCACAACCAUCAACGUGGCCCAAUCUGUGACAACUUUGUGAUCGAAUGCAAAUUGCACAAAGCGCACGAUAUUAAGUGCGUUGAUUAUUUAGCGCACGAAAUAUUCACUGUUGGAUCCCACUUCAAGAAAACAUCCAACUACCUGUGGCCAUUCAAGCUCAACACCAACCGGUGUUGGUUGGUGUGAACGUUGAGGUUGAUGAUUUCGGUAACCGUGAAGAUAAGAUCAACAAACUGCAUGCGCAAGAUGGUUUAAAGAAAUUUUUUGGUGUACUAGGUGGAGUAUUUUUAUUGCAAAAAUAUAUAAUAUAUAAAAAAAAGAAAAUGUUUUUUUUUGUAACUUUCUGAAAGUUUAUCCCACAAUUAUGUCAAAUGGAAGGCAGCUUAUAUUGACGAUUCCCUGAAUAAUGUCGCAAUUCCAUUGCCGUUUGUAAAGGCCAUUUCAAAAGGCUCCAUUCCACAAAUUUAAUUUGUUUUGGUUUUUCAGCUCAUUAACGAUGCACCCAGGAUUGCAUUUACCGUCUAUGAAAAUAUUUCA